UUUGUGGGAGAGCUCAUGGUGGCAGGGUGACUGGGGUCCUCUGCCCUCCUCUGUGUGUGCACUCAUGGCUUUCUCGAGGCAGUCUGUGGGUAAAAGCUGAGACGCUGCUGAGCGACGGUGUCUGUGCAGAGAGCUGAGGCGACGGGCCACGGCUUGCCCCGGGGAAUGGGUUCCCUCCCCUUGCCCUGCUUCCUUCCUGCUUUGUGGAAUGGGAUUGUCACAGCACCGCCCUCGGGACGACGCUGGAAGGAUUGAAUGAGACAAAGCACAUCCAGGGAUGAACAUCAUAGGAGCCCAAGACAUGUCAGCACUUGUUAGGGUCAUUAUAACUAGAGGUGCCCAGUGCCAAAGCCAGAAGGUUCUCACCAAAGAGGCAGAGACUUGUUCUGGAGGUUGGAAGGUCCAAGAUCAAGGUGCCAGCAAGGGCAGACAUGUGGUUUACAUGUUCACCAUCACAACACCACACAAUUGUCCCCAGUUCCUCAGACUUCAGAUCUGGGAUGAGGAGUGCAGAGAUAUAUAAGGAAGGGUGUUCAUUUCAGCAAAGGCCUGGAACUAACUGAAAUGUCCAUUAAGAGGGGAACAGUGGUUCAUCUGGACAAUGGAAUCAUAGUGGAUAAACUGAAUCUAGUGACAUGAAAAUGCACCAAUCUGGAAAAAUCUCCAAGACAGACUGCUAAGCAGAAAAAUUAAUAAUAAAGCAACAUGACUGGCAUGAUUCCA